AUACGGAGGGUGCAAGCGUUACUCGGAAUCACUGGGCGUAAAGCGCGCGCAGGCGGCUAUUUAAGUUGGAUGUGAAAGCCUAUGGCUCAACCAUAGAACUGCAUCCAAAACUAUUUAGCUAGAGUGUGGGAGAGGAAGAUGGAAUUAGUUGUGUAGGGGUAAAAUCCGUAGAGAUAACUAGGAAUACCAAAAGCGAAGGCAAUCUUCUGGGACACUACUGACGCUGAGGCGCGAAAGCGUGGGGAGCAAACAGGAUUAGAAACCCCAGUAGUCC
rnacentral:rRNA from 1 species